GACGAACGCUGGCGGCGUGCCUAAUACAUGCAAGUUGAGCGCUGAAGGUUGGUACUUGUACCAACUGGAUGAGCAGCGAACGGGUGAGUAACGCGUGGGGAAUCUGCCUUUGAGCGGGGGACAACAUUUGGAAACGAAUGCUAAUACCGCAUAAAAACUUUAAACACAAGUUUUAAGUUUGAAAGAUGCAAUUGCAUCACUCAAAGAUGAUCCCGCGUUGUAUUAGCUAGUUGGUGAGGUAAAGGCUCACCAAGGCGAUGAUACAUAGCCGACCUGAGAGGGGGGUCGGCCCCAUUUGGACGGAGACACGGCCCAAACUCCUACGGGAGGCAGCAGUAGGGAAUCUUCGGCAAUGGACGGAAGUCUGACCGAGCAACGCCGCGUGAGUGAAGAAGGUUUUCGGGUCGUAAAACUCUGUUGGUAGGGAAGAACGUUGGUGAGAGUGGAAAGCUCAUCAAGUGACGGUAACUACCCAGAAAGGGACGGCUAACUACGUG
rnacentral:rRNA from 1 species